rnacentral:rRNA from 24 species
GUAACAAGGUCUCCGUUGGUGAACCAGCGGAGGGAUCAUUG